UACGAAGGGGGCUAGCGUUGCUCGGAAUCACUGGGUUUAAAGGGUGCGUAGGCGGGUUGGUAAGUCAGUGGUGAAAUCCCCGAGCUCAACUUGGGAACUGCGUUUGAAACUACAGGACUAGAAUAUGUCAGAGGGGGGUAGAAUUCCACGUGUAGCAGUGAAAUGCGUAGAGAUCCGGAGGAAGACCGGUGGCGAAGGCGGCCUGCUGGGCAGUUACUGACACUGAUGCGCGACAGCGUGGGGAGCAAACAGG
rnacentral:rRNA from 1 species